rnacentral:rRNA from 1 species
UCCUACGGGAGGCAGCAGUGAGGAAUAUUGGACAAUGGGCGAGAGCCUGAUCCAGCCAGCCGCGUGCAGGAAGACUGCCCUAUGGGUUGUAAACUGCUUUUUUACGGGAAGAAACACUCCGACGUGUCGGAGCUUGACGGUACCGUAGGAAUAAGGAUCGGCUAACUCCGUGCCAGCAGCCGCGGUAAUACGGAGGAUCCGAGCGUUAUCCGGAAUCAUUGGGUUUAAAGGGUCCGUAGGCGGGCUUCUAAGUCAGUGGUGAAAGUCUGCAGCUUAACUGUAGAAUUGCCAUUGAUACUGGGAGUCUUGAAUUACUGUGAAGUGGUUAGAAUAUGUAGUGUAGCGGUGAAAUGCUUAGAUAUUACAUGGAAUACCAAUUGCGAAGGCAGAUCACUAACAGUAUAUUGACGCUGAGGGACGAAAGCGUGGGUAGCGAACAGGAUUAGAUACCCUGGUAGUCCACGCCGUAAACGAUGGAUACUAGCUGUUGGGCCGUAAGGUUCAGUGGCUAAGCGAAAGUGAUAAGUNCC